GGCCCCGUAGCUCAGCAUGGACAGAGCGGCGGCCUGCGGACAUAAAUGGUAGAGAGCCGUAGGACCCGGACGAGGGACAAGAACCCUCGGGGGAAGUUCAAAUCCCGGCGGGGCCG
rnacentral:tRNA from 1 species